AGGACUACCCAUCAGGAGAACUGGAAUAGAGAAGGAGCCUGGAGCCCUGAACAGUGUGUGGAGCCAAGCCUCUAAUCUGGUCUUGAUUUAUCAACCUCUAGACUCUUACAUAAGAGAAAAACAAACUUCUAUCUAUGUUAAGCCACUGUUACACUGGGUUUCUGCUACUCAUAUCCAAAAUGAGUCCUAUCUGAUAAAGUGCUCAGGAGCUGGAUUCUGGAAUUAGACUGCCUAGGUUCUAUCACUUAUGAGCUCAUAGAAACAGGUAAUUUGCUUCACUUCCUUGCUCCAGCUGUAAAAUGAGAAUGUUAAAGAGAGCAUCUACCUUCUAGUGCAGGAUUUUCACAACAUCACACUAAGUGAGGCCCUCUGCUCAUGGCUCUCUGCAUCUGGAGGCCUUCUGGAAUGCAGCCGUCAGCCAGUGGCCCUGUUCCUCUCUCAGAGACAGGACUACCACCCACAGCUCUUCUGAUAGCCUUGUUUUUUUAUUGCCAUGGCUCAUUGGAUCAAAGCCUCUGAGUUUGAUGCAAGUUCAGAAUAAUUCAAGGAUUAACUCAUCUCUCUGUGCUUGGGGAGCUACACAAGCAACAUCUGGUACAGCCUGCAGAGGGAUUCUUCACCCAAGGAGUUUCAAAUUUCAACAUGUGAGCCAUCCUGCUGAAUAACAUCAUCGACGGGAACAGCACUCAGAGACCUCAUCUUGUAACAAGAGCUCUGUGUAACACCCCGCGGUCAUGUUUUGCACACAAUUAUAAUAAAUGGUGCAAAUUGUAA